rnacentral:misc_RNA from 1 species
CGGGCGUCCUCACAAAUUACCUGCAUUCAGAGAUGCGUAUCGGCACAGGCCGGUAUGCGAAAGUCCCAUCAUGGGGCCUUAGCUCAGCUGGGAGAGCACCUGCUUUGCAAGCAGGGGGUCGUCGGUUCGAUCCCGACAGGCUCCACCAUUUGAGUGAAACGACUUUGGGUCUGUAGCUCAGGUGGUUAGAGCGCACCCCUGAUAAGGGUGAGGUCGGUGGUUCGAGUCCUCCCAGACCCACCACUCUGAAUGUAGUGCACACUUAAGAAUUUAUAUGGAUCAGCGUUGAGGCUGAGACAUGUUCUUUUAUAACUUGUGACGUAGCGAGCGUUUGAGAUAUCUAUCUAAACGUGUCGUUGAGGCUAAGGCGGGGACUUCGAGUCCCUAAAUAAUUGAGUCGUAUAUUCGCGUUGGUGGCUUUGUACCCCACACAACACGACAUAUGAUCCUGAGGCAACUUGGGGUUAUAUGGUCAAGCGAAUAAGCGCACACGGUGGAUGCCUAGGCGGUCAGAGGCGAUGAAGGACGUGGUAGCCUGCGAAAAGUGUCGGGGAGCUG